GUCGUGCUGCAAAGUUGUUAAAUGGCAAAAACAAAUUACACCAUUACUGUCUUUGACAACAUGACUUUAUUAUUCCGGGAAACUCUUGCCCAGGAAGAUAAAAAGUUGCAAAUGACUUUAUUGUUCCUGUUAGGAACUUUCUGAAAUCAAACAGAUGUAAGUGAACAUCAGACUGCUCAAUAUUUCAAUAGAGAAUAUCAAAUGACUGUUUAUACCUUAAGACGCUUCUAAACCUUCCCCCUGGUAGCCCCUGCCUCGUUGUGUCCACGGAUCCUAAUCAAGCCCCUGCAUUGAAAGACCUGUCUUAAACCAGCCCCUCACACCUCAAAAUAUCCAAAUAUCCUGAUUUUGCCCCCCACCCAAUUCUGAUAUUCUGUUAUACCGUCAAGGUGGCAAUAAACUCAGAUUGGCUGAUGAUUGUUCCAGCAAUAUUUUCAUAAAGAAGCAUUGAAGAAUAAAUACAAGUAACUGAUCCUAGACCUGAGCUCUGUGAAUAUUAGUUUGGGGUGUGUGUGUGUGUGUGUGUGUGUGUGCACAGGUGUGCACGGGCGCUCUUAGGGACUUUCUGAAGGAUGACAUCCAAGAGGAAUCUUUCUUUGGCCACAGGGAUUUCACAUCCAUUUUACCUGCUUCUCCUGACCUGUGAACCCUAUGGAUCUCUUGGGCCAUGACUAAAGUUUGAAAACACUUUUGUCUUCUUUUUAUUCUAUAACAGGUUCUGUAAUUGCAAAGGCCACAUGGGAUCAUGGACAGACUCGGAACCAUGGCUGAGUCCUGGCCCUGCCACGUUUAAGGGAUGUCAGUUAACUUUUGAGCCUCAUUUAAAAUGCAGGUAACACUAUGUAUUAGUCAAAGUUCUCCAGAGAGAACCAAAAUCAAUAGGGUGUGUGCGUGUGGGUGUGUGUAUGUGGGUGUGUAUAUGAAGACAGAAAGAGGAAGAAAGACACGGAGACAGAGUGAGCAAGAUUUAUUUUAAGAAAUUGACUCACAUGAUUGUGGAGGCUUGGCAGGUCCAGAAUCUUCAGGGUAGACCAGCAGGCUGGAGACCCAGGGAGGAGUAGCAGUUGGAGUCCAAAGACAGUCUACUGACAGAAUUCCCUCUUACAUGAGGGAGGUCAGUUUUUUUUCUUUCAAGGCCUUCAACCAAUGGGAUGAGGCCCACUCACAUUAUGGAGGAUAGUCUGUUUUACUCAAAGUCUACUGAUUUAAAUGUUAGUCAUAUCUUUAAAAACUACAAUAAUGUUUGACCAACUAUCUAGGUACAGUGGCCUAGCCACGUUGACACAUAAAUUUUGCCAUUAUGCCAUCCCAGAGUCUCUGUUCUUAACAGCAAUAAUAACGAAAAAUCCAACUCAAUCUAAUGCCAUUUCUCCAAACCCCAAACAUUACCAUUUUCUACUUUUCUAAAGUUAUCAAUCAUCAAUUACUACUUUUCUUUGAAAUGACUGCAUUUUAAAUUUAAAUUUAUUCUAGAAGAAAGAUCUAUUGCACUACAUUGAAAUAAAAGCUAGGGGCACCUGGGUGGCUCAGUCAGUUAAGUCUCCAACUCUUGAUUUCAGCUUAGGUCAUGAUCUUGCAGUUAAUGAGUUCAAGCGCUGCAUCGGAUUCUGCACUAACAACACAGAUCCUGCUUGGUAAUCUCUGUCUCUCUUCUCUCUCUGCCUCUCUCACUCUGAAAAUAAAUAAAUAAACUUAAAAAUAAAAGAAAUAAAAGCUAGUAUAAUUUUAUAUAUACAGAAGUAAUUAUAAAAAUGAAUACAAUUUGAAGAAAGUUAAGGUACUAAAGUCUAGCUAGAAAUCACUAUCUCGGGGUGCCUGGGUGACUUGUUCAGUUGUGUGUCCAACUCUUGAUUUUGGGCUCAGGUCGUGAGCUCAUGGUUCACGGGUUCAAGCCCCACAUCAGACUCCACACUGAUAGUGUGGAGCCUGCUUGUGACUCUCUCUCCUCUCUCUCUGCCCCUUCUGCACUCACACUCUCCCUCUCUUUCUCUCUCUCAAAAUAAAUAAAUAAAUAUUUUUUAAAAAAGGAAAAGAAACCACCAUCUCAUCGAGGUUCUGGCCUGAGUACUACUUAGUUUUUGUUAAGAGGAAAAAGAAAAGAAAGGGAAAAAACAACAACAACAAAAAGAUAGGCAUAGAACAAAUGCAAAAAUAAAGGAGACACAAUAGCAAACUGAAAUCAUUCUCGUUGGCAUAUUCAGAAGGAUUAAGAAAAACAUUUGUUAAGAAUAGUUUUUUCGGCCCACAAGAUUUGAUAUUACAUCAUUUCUAGGAAUGAUGUAAAAUCGUUCCAUGUACAACAAAAAGCGUCUCUUAUGGAUAUGUAUCUUACUCCUUGGGAAACAUAGACUUCUAAGGGAGAAGGAAUCAGUGCCCAAACCUAAGACACAGUAAGAGACGAGAAGUGCAUGUUUGAGGGGGGACAAAGUGUGUCACGCUCUGUUAAGGUAAGCUGUUUUCUCUAGUUUCCCUAAAAACCUCUCAGUCAAAUCAACGUUGGAAGCUAAUGCAAUUCAUUCGCUAUAGAUGUAAGAAAGUGCUGAGCUGCGCUUCAAAAGUGGCUGCACAGCAAAAACAAAAUCCACAGAGACGGUGGAUGUGUGGGUGAUAAAUGCCAUCUCAUUCAAAGGAUUAUUGGGCAUCUAUCAGACCCAGGCUCUGCACCAAACCUUGGGAAGGUAGAGACGAAGAACAUGGUCCCUACCUCUGUGGAGCUCGUGCUUGUGGGAGGGGUGUGGUGUACUGGGUGGUCCCCCAAAGAACACAAGCACUUUCCAAGGGUGAUACAUAGAAUUCCCCAUUCUGCUACUCCUUUUUUCCCCCCUCUUGGAACAUACUAGUUUCCUUCUCCCUUGGGUCAAUAGCAUGUUUCCAGUUCCACUAGUACAUUACAAAUUUAUAAUUUUAAAUGUACUGGUAUAGAAAUCAUGUAUUUACUUUGUUAAAUAAGAGAUUGAGAGACGACAUGGUAUAAUGACACAAACUAGAAUUCCUAAAUUUUAAGUUGGCCAUCCAGUACCUGGGUAACCUUCCUCUGCUUCAAAUUUUCUUAGGACAAAGGCUUAAUACUAUGUCUGUCUUACGGACAAAAGAUUUGUUAUUGAACUUUACUUUUAUGUAAAAGUAUAUAAAAAGUAUAUGCCCCUGCCCUCCCUGUACUCCCAUAACUGUGGCUAUGAGAUUACUCUCUGGCCAAUGGAAUGUAAACCGAAAUCUGGUUUUAUUUAUUUAUUUUGUUAAAUGUUUUAUUUAUUUUUAAGACAGAGAGAGACAGAGCAUGAGUGGGGAUGGGGCAGAGAGAGAGGGAGACACAGAAUCUGAAGCGGGCUCCAGGCUCUGAGCUGUCAGCACAGAGCCCGACAAGAGGCUCGAACCCACGAGUUGUGAGAUCGUGACCUGAGCUGAAGUCAGACGCUCAACCGACUGAGCCACCUGGGCACCCUUAGAAAUCUGGUUUUAAAAAAAGGUACUCUGCUCCCCUUUUUUGGUCCCUUCCUCCAUCCUGCUGCUUGGAGCAUCCUGCAACACUAGCUGGCAUCUUGGAGCUUGGGGAUGAAGGCCACAUCCUAGACAUGCACGAAAGAAAACAAUUUUAAAAUAACAUUGUAUCCUUAAAGCAACUCUAAUGAAUGACUUUCACUAGCAGAUUUUUAAGUAAGCGACAUGGAGAAGAAUGAACCUGGACCACUGUCUUACACCAUACACAAAAAUAAACUCAAAAUGGAUGAAAGACCUCAAUGGAAGACAGGAAGCCAUCAAAAUCCUUGAGGAGAAAGCAGGCAAAAACCUCUUUGAUCUUGGCUGCAGCAACUUCUUACUCAACACGUCUCCAGAGGCAGGGGAAACAAAAGCAAAAAUGAGCUACUGGGACCUCAUCAAAAUAAAAAGCUUCUGCACAGUGAAGGAAACAAUCAACAAAACUAAAAGGCAA